rnacentral:rRNA from 1 species
GUACCGUACAAACGUUAUUCGGAAUCACUGGGCUUAAAGGGUGCGUAGGCGGUGCGGUCAGUUGGGUGUGAAAUCCCUCGGCUCAACCGAGGAACUGCGCCCAAUACUGCCGCACUCGAGGGAGACAGAGGUAAGCGGAACUGAUGGUGGAGCGGUGAAAUGCGUUGAUAUCAUCAGGAACACCAGUAGCGAAGGCGGCUUACUGGGUCUCUUCUGACGCUGAGGCACGAAAGCUAGGGGUAGCGAACGGGAUUAGAUACCCCGGUAGUCCUAGCUGUAAACGAUGAGCACUUGGUCGGAGACUCCCUCCAUAGGUUUCCGGUCGUAGCGAAAGUGUUAAGUGCUCCGCCUGGGAGCAUGGUCGCAAGGCUG